CCUAACAGCCUUGGGCCCUUUCCUUUCCCCCUCAGCCACUCAAGAAUGAAUACAAGACUUUCCCAAAGUGCUUAGACAUAGACGUGAACAUGGAACAAGACCCAAGAUCCACACGAUGAUGCAGCGUUGCUUGAUCUGACUCCUAAGGACACAAUCCUUUAAUUCUCAAGAUGGACCCUUACAGAUAUGUUUUGGACUACAACUCCCACCAUUCCUAACAGCCUCAGGCCCUUUCCUUUUCCCCCUCAGCCACUCAAGAAUUAAUACAAGACUUUCCCAAAGAUCUUAGACAUAGACAUGAACAUGGAACAAGACCCAAGAGCCACAUGAUGACACAGUGUUGCCUGAUCUGACUCUUAAGGAAACAGUCCUUUAAUUUAAGGAAGGGGCCCGAGGCUGUUAGGAAUGGUGGGAGUUGGAGUCCAAAACACCUGGAGGGAGGACCAAAGUUGGCCCAUGCCUGUUAUAUAAAAAAGCCAAAGUAGAUUGAUUAUUGAAAUAUAACUCCCAUUUUAGCCUUGUGUUUUCCAAGCCAGGUCCAGGAAGGCUAAUGGAGAAAAUACCUUUGCUCUCCCGACCUUUCUCCUGUGACCAAAACGAAACCCCGCAGCCUGGUGAAGUCAGGAAGAACCCUGUUUCAGUCCUCUACCAAUAUUGCCACUAGGUUUUUAUUGGUCUGUGCACUUGGCCCUCCACUUUUAAUGUCUAUCUUUUCUGAAUUUGGUGAAUAUGGCCUUUCUAGAAAUGAUGCAGUGGGUUAAACCGCUGAGCUGCUGAACUUGCUAACCGAAAGGUCACAGGUUCAAAUCCAGGGAGUGGGUGAGCUCCCGCUGUUAGCCCCAGCUUCUGCCAACCUAGCAAAAGCUCCAGCAGGAAGUCAACUGCAUUCCAUGCAGUCACGCUGGCGACAUGACCUUGGAGGUGUCUAUGGACAGCUCUGGCUUUUUAGCUUAGAAAUGGAGAUGAGCACCAACCCCUAGAGUCGGACAUGACUGGACUAAAUGUCAGGGGAAAACCUUUACCUUUUUAGGAAUUUUAGUUCCUCCACUGCACCUCUUGUUGGGUGAGUGAGUUAAUAACAAAGGACCCUCCCCAUGAACUUAGUAACUUAUCAGCAGCAGCGUGACCCAGCACCAGUAGCCCAAAGUGAUAAAAGAACAAAAAACACACAGACCAAUGUUAUCUCUUCCAUAGGAAGCUUUUCUCUGUAGUAAAAUAAUAUGGUUGCACUGUUUACAAGAACAAGCUUUUCAUAACACAAAUAAAGUCCUUUACAUUUCCUUCUUUGCUUCCACGCUGGGCUUCUUUCUCAUGCAAAUAGACAGCUUCGCUCUCACAGAGCCUCUUCUCACAGGAGCCUCACACAGGGCUUCUCUCACCGAAGAUUCUCACACCAGGCCUUCUCAUACUGAGGCCUACUAACACUGAGGCCUUGGAGCUUCACACAGUAGCUUUACACACAGCAGCGUUCACACAUGAGACCUUCACACACAAUGGCCUUCAACCUGGGGCAUCUCUCACCGAAGCUUCUCACACCAGGCAUUCUCACACUGAGGCCUAGUAACACUGAGGCGUACUUAACACUGAGGCAUUGGAGCUUCACACAGUAGCUUUACACAAAGCAGCCUUCACACAUGAGGCCUUCACACAGAAUGGCCUUCAACCUGGGGCAUCUCUCACCGAAGCUUCUCACACCAGGCCUUCUCAUACUGAGGCCUAGUAACACUGAGGCCUAUUUAACACUGAGGCAUUGGAGCUUCACACAGUAGCUUUACACACAGCAACCUUCACACAUGAGGCCUUCACACACAAUGGCCUCCAACCUAGGGCUUCUCUCACUGAGACUUCUCACACCAGGCUUUCUAAUACUGAGGCCUGCAUAACACUGAGGCCUUUCUCCCACUGAGACCUCUCUUUAUAGAAAAAUUAUAUGGUUGUACUAGUUACAAGAACAAGGUUUCCAUAACACUUCCUUCUUUGCUUCCAUGCUGGGCUUCUUUCACACGUAGAUAAAUAGCUUCACUCUCACACGGCCUUUUCUCACACUGAACUUACACAGGAGCUUUACACACAGCAGUCUUCACACUGAAACUUCACACAUGAGCUUUACACACACAAGGCCUUCAACUUGGGGCUUCCUCUCACCAAAGCUUCUCACACCAGGCCUUCUCAUACUGAGGCCUUUCUCACACUGAGGUGAACUAGCACUGAGGUCUUCUCAUAUUGAGGCCUACCUAACACACUGAGGCCCUUCUUCCACAGAGACCUUUCUCAGACUGAGGCCUUUCUCCCACUGACGCGAACUAAUACUGAGGCCUACCUAACACACUGAGGCCCUUCUCCCACAGAGACCUCUCUCAGACUGAGGCCUUUCUCCCACUGAGGCGAACUAACACUGAUGCCUUCUCAUAUUGAGGCCUACCUAACACACAGAGGCCCUUCUCCCACAGAGACCUCUCUCAGACUGAGGCCUUUCUCCCACUGAGGCAAACUAACACUGAGGCCUAC